rnacentral:lncRNA from 1 species
AAUAUAUUUAGGAGCUGGGCGUGGUGGCUCAUGCCUGUAAUCCUGGCACUUUGGGAGGCUGAGGCAAAAGGACUGCUCGAACCCAGGAGUUUUAGUUCAGCCUGGGCAAUGUAUCAAGAUGCUGUUUCCACAAAAAAUACAAAAAUUAGCCAGGCAUGGUGGUGCUUGCCUGUAGUCCCAUCUACUCAGGAAGCUGAAGCAUGAGAAUUGCUUGAGCCUGGAAGGUUGAGGCUGCAGUGAGCUGAGAUUGUGCCACUGCACUCCAGCCUGGGUGACAGAGUGAGACACUCUCUCUCAAAAAAAAAAAGAAAAUGUAAGCAAAGGCAUGGACUGAGGGUGUGUAUGAAGAGAGAAGGCAGGAAGCAGAUGCCAGGGAUGGGAAGAUGAGGGUGUGAUUAAGCGUGGCCUCAGCAUGAAAUGCAGGGUUGAAGGAGUUGGUGGUGGUUAGAUACAGGCCAUGUCCCAAAAUGACUGAUGGGUGUUGUUAGGGAUUUGCAGUUUUGCCUCUGAGAGUGACAUAAUCAUAUUUGCAUGUUAGAAUGAUCACUCUUCAGGAGGGCUGGCGAUUGGGGUGGGAGCAGGUGUGAAUUCAGGGGACCAGUUAGAAGAAGGCAGCUGCCGACAUCCAGGUGGAGAGGAAUGGGCCUUGGCUAAGCGGGGGCAGGGGUUGGAGAACAGUGGGAUUUCAGAUGCAGAGAUAACAGGAUUUGGUGGCUGAUGGGAGGCAGGGAGUGAGGGAGAGGGAGGAGGAAAGGCCAACUGUCAGUUCUCAAGAGCUGGCUGGAGCUCUCUCUUUCCCUCCAGUGAGAACAACAUGUCCAGAACCAACAAAACCGAAUUCCAGCUGGAGCUGCCAGUGAAAUACGCUGUCUACAUGGUGGUCACCAGCCAUGAGGUCUCCACCAAAUAUCUCAACUUCACAGCCUCAGAGAAUACCAGUCGAGUCAUGCAGCAUCAAUAUCAGGUGGGGAGCUGGGACGUCUGGUUCCCAGCUGGGAAGGAAAAUCUAUGUGUAGAAAAUGCAGAAACAGGGCUGGGCACAGUGGUUCACGCCUGUAAUCCCAUCAUUUUGGGAGGCUGAGGAGGGCGGAUCACAAGGUCAGGAGUUCAAGACCAGCCUGACCAAUAUGGUGAAACCCCCUCUCUACUAAAAAUACAAGCGUGCCUGUAAUCCCCGGUACUCGGGAGGCUGAGGCAGAAGAAUCGCUUGAACCCGGGAGGCAGAGGUUGCAGUGAGCCAAGAUCGCACUACUGCACUCCAGCCCAGGCAAUAGAGUGAGACUCCGUCUCAAAAAAGAAAGAAAAUAAAAGAAAAUGCAGAAACAGGGAUGGGAAAUGUGCGUAAGGCACCUGUGGUGUGCCAGGCUUGGUUCCACGCUGCUAUCGUUCGGUAUGCACGCAUGCACACAUGCAAGGACGUAUGUGAUAUGCACGCACGUUAUUAUCUUAUGUUACCUUUGUAACGACUCUGUGGGGCGCUGUCAUGAUCCCCAGUUUACAGAUGAAGAAACUGAGGCUCAGGUUUACAGAACACGAUUGAGGUCUCCCAUCAAGUAAACAGGAGAGCUAGGACUGGAGACCAGGCUGUGUGGCGCUCGAAUGCGUACUAGGUGUAUACUCCACUCUUAAACAGGAAGGGGCAGGACGCCCGGGCCUGUGGCCUGCACCGUAGGGAGGGGAGGCUGAUUCUCCAGGCUGGUCGGGGAGGAAGGCAGAGCCCUGACCUCGCCCUCCCGGUGCAGGUCAGCAACCUGGGGCAAAGGACCCUUCCCAUCAGCCUGGUGUUCCUGGUGCCCGUCCGGCUGAACCAGGCGAUCAUAUGGGACCGUCCCCAGGUCACCUUCUCCGAGGUGAGUGGAGCACGGCCCUGCGCCUUCCUCACACCUCUGUUUCCACCCUUGGGUUUUGGAGCCACUCCGCCCCUCUCCCAGACCCAGGGCAUCUCACCUCCUGGCCGGCUGGCCCGGGCACCUUCAUCUCUGCCCCUUAGUGCCAGUGCCUCUCUUUCUUCAGAACCUCUCGAGUACGUGCCACACCAAGGAGAGCUUGCCCCCUCACUCCGACUUUCUGGCUGAGCUUCGGAAGGCCCCCGUGGUGGUGAGAAGCUAAGUCAGCCCCAGGGCCACGUGGAGACGCAGCGCGGUUCCCUGCUGGAGCCUAUCUGGUCUCUGAACAACGGGGAGGGGUCUUCUCUGCCUUCAGCUUCGUUACCAUCCCCUCCCCUCCUGCGUUCCGCAGAACUGCUCCAUCGCUGUCUGCCAGAGAAUCCAGUGUGACAUCCCGUUCUUUGGCAUCCAGGAAAAAUUCAAUGCCACCCUC